UACGUAGGGGCCGAGCGUUGUCCGGAGUUACUGGGCGUAAAGCGCGCGCAGGCGGCGCAUCGCGCCCGGCGUGAAAGCCCCCGGCUCAACCGGGGAGGGUCGUCGGGGACGGGUGCGCUUGAGGACGGCAGGGGCAGGUGGAAUUCCCGGUGUAGUGGUGAAAUGCGCAGAUAUCAGGAGGAACACCGGUGGCGAAGGCGGCUUGCUGGGCCAGUUCUGACGCUGAGGAGCGAAAGCGUGGGGAGCGAACAGG
rnacentral:rRNA from 1 species